ACGGGUGCUUAACGCGUGGGAAUCUGCCCUUGGGUUCGGAAUAACAUCGGGAAACUGAUGCUAAUACCGGAUGAUGACGAAAGUCCAAAGAUUUAUCGCCCAGGGAUGAGCCCGCGUAGGAUUAGCUAGUUGGUGAGGUAAAGGCUCACCAAGGCGACGAUCCUUAGCUGGUCUGAGAGGAUGAUCAGCCACACUGGGACUGAGACACGGCCCAAACUCCUACGGGAGGCAGCAGUAGGGAAUAUUGGACAAUGGGGGCAACCCUGAUCCAGCAAUGCCGCGUGAGUGAUGAAGGCCUUAGGGUUGUAAAGCUCUUUUACCCGGGAUGAUAAUGACAGUACCGGGAGAAUAAGCCCCGGCUAACUCCGUGCCAGCAGCCGCGGUAAUACGGAGGGGGCUAGCGUUGUUCGGAAUUACUGGGCGUAAAGCGCACGUAAGCGGCGAUUUAAGUCAGAGGUGAAAGCCCGGGGCUCAACCCCGGAAUAGCCUUUGAGACUGGAUUGCUUGAAUCUUGGAGAGGCGGGUGGAAUUCCGAGUGUAUAGGUGAAAUUCGUAGA
rnacentral:rRNA from 1 species